rnacentral:misc_RNA from 1 species
GUGGCUUUGAUGUGAAUGCUGUCUGGGUGAGUAGAGAAAGAGAUAGGUCCUGUUCAUGAUAGGAGGUUUAUAUGCUCUGUGCAAAUUAUAAUUGCUGAAGGCAUGCUUUUUGUGAGGGGGAUGAAAAGUCACGAGUAAAAGAUGCAGAGAAUUCUGCAGCUUUAGCAACUAUCCGGAGUAUGCAGGAAUCAAAGUUCAGUUGAUUUGUUCAUCGUUCCACAUUCCAAUUCCAGGAUGAAGCAGGUACCAGGGUUCGUUUCAACUUGGAAGUAUAUCUUACUCAGGUUUUCUCUUGAUUCAUGCAAUAAUCAUGUUUCGUGCAAUAAUCUCAUUAAUCACUGAUGUUUGACUUUUUCUUUCAUUAACAAAUACCAUAUAGAAAAAAUGAGCCUUGGUCCUAGAGCAACCCCAAUGUAGUAGGUCAUAAAGUGAGGAUUUCCUAAA